AUUGAACGCUGGCGGCAGGCCUAACACAUGCAAGUCGAGCGAGCGGCGGACGGGUGAGUAAUGUAUGGGGACUGCCCGAUAGAGGGGGAUACCUACUGGAAACGGUGGCUAAUGCCGCAUACUAACGGAUAACCCAUAUGGGAGUAGCUAGUAGGUGGGGUAAAGGCUCACCUAGGCGACGAUCUCUAGCUGGUCUGAGAGGAUGAUCAGCCAGACUGGGACUGAGACACGGCCCAGAUUCCUCCGGAGGCAGCAGUGGAGAAUAUGGGACAUUGGGCGCAAGCCUGAUGCAGCCAUGCCGCGUGUAUGAAGAAGGCCUUAGGGUUGUAAAGUACUUUCAGCGGGGAGGCGUUACCCGCAGAGGAAGCAAGGGCUAACACCGGGCCAGCAGCCGCGGUAAUUC
rnacentral:rRNA from 1 species